GCUUCUUCAACAACUGCAGCCACCUCUGUAGCUCGAUAGCCAACACAGUCGGAACAUUCAAGUUCUUUAGACAAUUUCGUGGUUUAUUUGCAACUGAUUUAAACAUACUUAUGUGGAAACAACUAGCUAACCUACUAUUUCAUUUAAUAUUUACAUUGUAAGUCAACUAGCGGGCUGGUUAAGUUAGUAUUAGCCUAGCUAGCUAUUAUCCCCCACCAUGAACUCACUAAGCUACUCUCCUCCUGCUAAAGAGGCGUUCUGCUGUACGGAGAAAGAAGCUUUCGUGGAAGAGGAGGCUGUUGCAAUACAAAAACAAGUAGAGGGUGAGGCUGUUACCGUGAAAGAAGAAGAGAAAGACGUUACAGAUAAAAACACCUUCAGGGUGAAAGAGGAAGAGGAUGUUACGCUUCGAACACACCGAUUGCGUCAUUGCAUCACUGCUGCAUAACAUUUUGCGCAGCUAGGCAACUAUACUGAUGCAGGUACCUUUUGCAAAUGGUCGCAUGCGGUUGGACACAUGGAGGAGAGAAUCAUUUUCGCAGUGUCCUCAAAACCGUGUCUUUUUGACACAACUGCUGACAGCUACAGGGACAUAAACACAAAAAAUGCUGCUUGGAGACAAGUGUCCACAAUAGUAGGAUUGCCAGAGAUGGAGUCAAUUUAGCAGACCAGCUCACAGAAAGGACAGGAAGAGGAGAGGAAGGACAGGAAGAGGAGAGGAAGGACAGGAAGAGGAGAGGAAGGACAGGAAGCGGAGUUGUCUGGUUUUUGUUUUGACCUCCCUCAUUGUACCUUUCUUUUCACACACGUCAGUUCUGUUUAAAUUCAGUCAAUUCAUAAAGUCAUUUGUUUAUAAAGUCUUAGGAUAGCAUUCAUUAUUAGUGUUACAUAGAUUUCUGAAUUGAAACUCAUACAGAGUUUUCACAGAUGCUCUUGGUGUCUUACGAGACUAAAGGUCAAUAUAUUUAUUUCCUUUAAAACCACUUGAAAACCAGGGUGUUGAAACUUUUUGUGAAGUUAUGUUCCAUCGACUGGUCCAUGACGUCCAGGGGCCAUUUGUUUGUUUAGCUGUGUUAUGGCUACAUAUUAUUUCCUUUUUCAGAGACACACACACACACACACACCUCUUCAUACCUCAGAUCUCCAGUGCCCUGCCCUCUCUCUCUUUAUGGCCAUGUCUGAAGUUCCCCUACUACGUCUAGGCUUUAUGAGUAGUCCCUUUAAUGGUCUGCAGUUGUGCCAAAAAUACAUGCUCUUGUUGUUCUCUUACAGAUUACAGGCUACACGUUCAUUUUAUUUAUUUUUUACACGCACAUACACACCUCUUUCAAUAGUUCAAUUUUUUGAAACAUCUUUACAACACACAUACCUGUCAUGUUCUUUCCUGUACAUGAAUACUUAUUAAAUUAUAAUGUUUUCAUAGUCAGUUGUUUCAUAUCUAAUUUAGACUUAAUCUGUUUAUUUCUUCCCUACACCUUUGCAGAUCUAAGACAAGAUGAACGUAAAAACACAUUCUCUUCCUAAUUAGUUUUUUUUCCACCUGUAUUUUGUCAGGCCAGUGAACAUGGUGGUAAACUGUACUAUUUGUAUGGACCCUAGGUUACCCUUUCCCUUUGUUAUCAUACUAACUGUAUGUCGUAUAACCUUAAUUAGUGCUCCCGCUCACCUGAUGUACCAUGCCAGGUGUGUAUAAUACUGACGUUAAUGGGAGAGGGAAGGGGUUAUUAAGGUGUGGUCUUUACUCCCAAAUGUCACUUAAAUAUAGCUUCCAAAUGAAGAGAGACAAUGAUACAUAAAGUGAUGUAUCCACGGUGGAUGGUUCUUAAAUGGUUCUUAAAAUAACCUUUAUGUUAGGGGGCUCUUAAAAGAGCAGUUUCACUCCACGGCAUACUGCCAUGGGACUUCACCUGCUGGCGAUGAGAAGUAGGUGGUCAGCUUCUCCCUCACCUGGAGUGCCUGUCUGGGGGCGUUGUUGGCACCUGCCAUGGUGACAUCAGGAAGGUGACCAUUUACCGUGCCCAUCUCCAUCCGGAGCGGCUCCUGAAAUGACCUCCGCAGGUAGUUGUGGAGAACACAUGUGGCCUUCACGCAGGCAUCGACAUUUGAGGGGCUGAGACCAAGCACUCUCCGAUACAUUCUCCAUCGGGCUGCCAGAAUCCCAAAGGCGCAUUCAACAACUAUCCUUGCUCUGGACAGUCGUUUGUUAAAGAUCCUUACAGGCUUUGGCAAUGGCAGCUGGCGUCCAGCGUAGGGCCUCAUGAGGUUGGGUCUUAAAGGGAAGGCCUCAUCGCCGACGAAGAUGUGGGGAACAGGUCCCAGGUCUUCAGCCCCAGGGAGUGAUGCAGGUGGUGGAAUAUCCAGGGUGCCAUCCUGAAGUGCCUGGCCAAAGGCAGAGUCCCGGAGGGUCCCGCCAUCACUUCCCUUGCCGUAAGCACCAACAUCGACAACACGGAAACAGUUGAUGGCAUCUACUACAGCCAAGAGUACAACUGAAUAUGUACCCUUGUAGCUGUAGAAUUGCGAACCUGAGCACGGUGGAGCCUGGAUUACUACAUGUUUCCCGUCAAUGGAGCCAAGACAGUUGGGGAAAUUCCACCUCUCCAGGAACUCGGCAUUCAAGGCUCUCACAAUUAAUUUGCAAGGCAAAUGCAGCGUUCCAUUGGAAAUGAAUGUACUUCUGGUGUAUCGAAACGCAAGACACAGUCGGUGUGUUCGAAGCGUUACUGUGAAAGAAGAGGAGGAGGAUGCAGUUUUUGGAGUAGAAGAUGAAGACGUUUUUGAAAUGACGGAUGAAGAGGGGGAGAUUACUGUCACAAUAGAGGAGGACGAAGAAGAGAAGACUGGAGAUCUGAUUAACACCAGUAAAUACAGUGAGUACUAUCUUCUAAAACAGGGACAUUGAUCUGAUUAACACCAGUAAAUACAGUGAGUACUAUCUAAUAAAACAGGGGUAUUGAUCUGGGCAUUCUACACUUGAAUAUGUUUUUGUACUGUCGUAAUUGUUCAUGACUUCCUCCAGUGAUUUUUUAAAAACUUUUCCCGUUGAAAAGUGAUAUAUAAAUACAGUAAAGUAUAAACACACUAAAGGGAAACAAAUAAAUGUUUUGAGCAAAUUAGUGUUUUUUUAGACAACUGCAAACUUGAAGGAGUGAGUGAUGUCAUAGUAAAGCAUUCAAGGAGUUGGCUUGAUGGGAAGUAGUGACUUCAUCCAAUAGGGGACAGAUCUUCAUGCAAAUAUUCACUAUUCUUUUUAAAAUCCUUCCUGUUCUGUCAAGUUGGUUGUUGAUCAUUGCUAGAAAGCCAUUUUCAAGUCUUACCAUAGACUUUCAAGACGAUUUAAGUCCAAACUGUAACUAGGCCACUCAUGAACAUUCAAUGUCAUCUUGGUAAGCUCCUCCAGUGUAGAUUUGGCCUUGUGGGUUAGGUUAUUGUUCUGUUAGUACAGUUUUUUGUAUUCAGAUCUCUGAAAUGCACUCUACCUACGUAACAUUUAGUGUUUCCUUAUGUUACGCUGAGAAAACAGUUUUCAUGGGCACAGAAAUAGUAAAUAAUUUCAGGGUUUGCUAAAUCCAAUGGUUCUAACCGAGAGUCACCUUAACUUUAUUGACAACACCCAAAUGGAUACUGUCAUUAACGCAAUUCUUCAAUAAUUACACAUAAUACUUAAUACUGUAGUUGUUUAGUUACAAUCACAUGUUCAACUAUCAUCAGCUGAUCCAGGAAAUCAUUUUCUGAAUGACAGUCACAUGACAAACAUCACGACAUGCAACAACAACCAAAGUGCUUCUUCAUUCAUUACUCUGGUAAAGACAGUUAUGCCGUGCUCUUUGUGGGAUCCAACAUCCCUAACAAAUUGAUGUUUAUAAUGUGUUAUUGUCUGCUUGAUUUACAGUAGCGUCUCGUUAGUCUGUUUGGAAACAGAGAUACUUUACUCAUAAUGUGUAGAGAACUGUUCCUUGAUGGAUAGGCUAUUGUACAACACACAGAGCUAUUUUCCUUUAUUCAGGAAAUUUAGAAUGACAACACAUUACAGAGUAGCCUAGUGGGAUUAUUCACAAAAUGAUCUGGUGAUCAGGUUAUGAAAUGUCACGAUAAAGACAUUUUAGUUUCCAUGUUUCACCUUAAAUAUUAAAUGAUUUAUAGUCCUAGGUCUAGGUUGUUGUUUUGGGUCCUACAGUAGGUCUAUGUUGUUUUUAGGUGAAGUUAUGGGUCCGACAGUAGGUAUAUGUUGUUGUUAGGUGAAUUUAUGGGUCCUACAGUAGGUAUAUGUUAUUGUUAGGUGAAUUUAUAGGCCAAUUUGCGUACACUUAGUUUACAGACGUUCAUUGACAGACUGGUAGCAAAGCUUGCCAAAGAGCAUUUUACUGGUUGAAGUGUUUUUUUUAAGUAUAAAGCAGUUGACUUGCGACAACACAAACAUUAUACACUGCUCAAAAAAAUAAAGGGAACACUAAAAUAACACAUCCUAGAUCUGAAUGAAUGAAAUAUUCUUAUUAAAUACUUUUUCUUUACAUAGUUGAAUGUGCUGACAACAAAAUCACACAAAUUAUCAUUGGAAAUCAAAUUUAUCAACCCAUGGAGGUCUGGAUUUGGAGUCACACUCAAAAUUAAAGUGGAAAACCACACUACAGGCUGAUCCAACUUUGAUGUAAUGUCCUUAAAACAAGUCAAAAUGAGGCUCAGUAGUGUGUGUGGCCUCCACGUGCCUGUAUGACCUCUCUACAACGCCUGGGCAUGCUCCUGAUGAGGUGGCGGAUGGUCUCCUGAGGGAUCUCCUCCCAGACCUGGACUAAAGCAUCCGCCAACUCCUGGACAGUCUGUGGUGCAAUGUGGCGUUGGUGGAUGGAGCGAGACAUGAUGUCCCAGAUGUGCUCAAUUGGAUUCAGGUCUGGGGAACGGGCGGGCAAGUCCAAAGCAUCAAUGCCUUCCUCUUGCAGGAACUGCUGACACACUCCAGCCACAUGAGGUCUAGCAUUGUCUUGCAAUGCUAGAGGAGGAACCCAGGGCCAACCGCACCAGCAUAUGGUCUCACAAGGGGUCUGAGGAUCUCAUCUCGGUACCUAAUGGUAGUCAGGCUACCUCUGGCGAGCACAUGGAGGGCUGUGCGGCCCCCCAAAGAAAUGCCACCCCACACCAUGACUGACCCACCGCCAAACCGAUCAUGCUGGAGGAUGUUGCAGGCAGCAGAACGUUCUGCACGGCGUCUCCAGACUCUGUCACGUCUGUCACGUGCUCAGUGUGAACCUGCUUUCAUCUGUGAAGAGCACAGGGCGCCAGUGGCGAAUUUGCCAAUCUUGGCGUUCUCUGGCAAAUGCCAAACGCCCUGCACGGUGUUGGGCUGUAAGCACAACCCCCACCUGUGGACGUCGGGCCCUCAUACCACCCUCAUGGAGUCUGUUUCUGACCGUUUGAGCAGACACAUACACAUUUGUGGCCUGCUGGAGGUCAUUUUGCAGGGCUCUGGCAGUGCUCCUCCUGAUCCUCCUUGCACAAAGGCGGCGGUAGCGGUCCUGCUGCUGGGUUGUUGCCCUCCUACGGCCUCCUCCACGUCUCCUGAUGUACUGGCCUGUCUCCUGGUAGCACCUCCAUGCUCUGGACACUACGCUGACAGACACAGCAAACCUUCUUGCCACAGCUCGCAUUGAUGUGCCAUCCUGGAUGAGCUGCACUACCUGAGCCACUUGUGUGGGUUGUAGACUCCGUCUCAUGCUACCACUAGAGUGAGAGCACCGCCAGCAUUCAAAAGUGACCAAAACAUCAGCCAGGAAGCAUAGGAACUGAGAAGUGGUCUGUGGUCACCACCUGCAGAACCACUCCUUUAUUGGGGGUGUCUUGCUAAUUGCCUAUAAUUUCUACCUGUUUUCUAUUCCAUUUGCACAACAGCAUGUGAAAUGUAUUGUCAAUCAGUGUUGCUUCCUAAGUGGACAGUUUGAUUUCACAGAAGUGUGAUUAACUUGGAGUUACAUUGUGUUGUUUAAGUGUUCCCUUUAUUUUUUUGAGCAGUGUAUUAGGCAGGGCAUUCAAACGAGACUUACAAUUUUAAUCCAAAGUAUUGUGAAAUGCACUCAUAAGCAACCUGGAAAUGGAGGCAAAUUUUUCUUGCAGCCUGUAAGUUUUCCCCCACUGUAGGCAAUUAAUGAAUAGUGACACAGAGCUUAAUGUGAGUUUCCUUGAGUAACACUCCUGAUCUUGCACUGAUAGUGCGCUGUAAUAUUCAGAAUACAUCGUGAAAAACUACAAUCUUCGCUCACCAUUUUUGCUCCAGGCAGAUAUACUACAUCCAUAACUAGUGGUUUCCUCAUUACCAGAUAUACUACAUCCAUAACUAGUGGUUUCCUCAUUAGCAUGGAAGAGUUUCUGCAACCAAAUUGUGCGCGCAUUGCCCUCGUGGCGCAAUUUUAGCAAACACAGAAAGGGGCCUAUAUUGGAGACCAAAAGUCAUCUGGCACAGUGCUUAGGAUUUCAACAAGACAAAAUAUGACUAUUCUUUCUCAUUUUAAGAUUCAUUACAUAUGUCAAUUGUUGUACAACAUCAUAGCUACGCUGUUGGUAUCACCUUUUACAGUGUAUUUCUGCUGUUGUGGGCUUUUAACCAUCUGUCUGACUUUGUUGUUCACACAGGAGAGAGACGAGACUAUUGUGGAUCCUCUGGGGAGCAGGGUGCUCAUUAGUCUUUCAGUUGUUAAUCUUCUAUUUUUUUUCCUCUUUUGUUUGUUGUGUAGGAAAUAUUUCUGUUUAAUUUCAUGUUUUUUUAUUUGUUUUUUCCAUUGUGUUUCGUCCAUGUUUGAAAUGUGCUAUAUAAAUAAAGCUUGAUAUGAUUUGAACAUAUUGUAAAACAAAUUAAUCCGAUGACUGACAAGCAACAGACUCUUGCUAAACCAUAUUACAAAUAUGUGCAAAAGCAACACAUAUCUUGGUCCAUCUUAGUAUGAAAAACAGUAUAAAUUCAGUAUAUCUUCCACUAUGUCAAUAUAGUGCAUGGUAUGUAAGUUUAGUAUCACUUUUUCACCAACCCAGUGCAUUUGAUGAAAAUGAUUUUUUUUUAAAUCAACAAUACGUCAAAUGAUUCAACUACUGAAAACUGAAACAAACAAUUGGAUCAAACAGAUCAAUCCCACUGGACAUUGGGUUUAAUUCAGACCCUGCCAGUGUACCAGGUGGACAUUGGGUUUGAUUCAGACCCUGCCAGUGUGUCAGGUGGACAUUAGGUUUGAUUCAGACCCUGCCAGCAUGGCCAGAUAUGUAACUUAUAACCACGGAACCAACACAGACCUUUCAUGCAUGACUAAAAACACCUAAGUAUUAGAUUUACUGCCAUGUUGUAGUAUGUCACUGCCUCAGACACCAUUCACAAUGCUGGCUGAGGUACGAGUUAAACAUGACAAAUUAUUUCCUAACCAUUCAUAAUGCUGGCUGAGGUACGAGUAAAACAUGACAAAUUAUUUCCUAACCAUUCACAAUGCUGGCUGAGGUACGAGUAAAUCAUGACAUAUUAUUUCCUAAUUGUGAAAAAAUCCCCACUCCUUUAUCAACUAGUCUCCCACUGUUUAACCAGAAUAACAUGAAUAACAUGUCCUUCAAACUGUUAGAAUGUUAGUCCAUAAUCAACUAUUCUCUCACUGUUUAAACAGAAUAACAUGAGUUGUGUCCUUCAAACUGUUAGACUGUUAGCCCAUAAAAGCAUAUCAGCUACUGAGAUGUCAUGUAUUGUCAUGUCAUGUUCUCUAUAAUGAAACAUCUCCAAGUGAAAUAAAGUUGAUAAGAUAUUCUUAAUACACAUUAAAUAAAAAAGGGUUGCUCAGAAAUCA